GUGGAUUAGUGGCGAACGGGUGAGUAACACGUGGGCAAUCUGCCCUUCACUCUGGGACAAGCCCUGGAAACGGGGUCUAAUACCGGAUAAUACUCCUGCCUGCAUGGGCGGGGGUUGAAAGCUCCGGCGGUGAAGGAUGAGCCCGCGGCCUAUCAGCUUGUUGGUGGGGUAAUGGCCCACCAAGGCGACGACGGGUAGCCGGCCUGAGAGGGCGACCGGCCACACUGGGACUGAGACACGGCCCAGACUCCUACGGGAGGCAGCAGUGGGGAAUAUUGCACAAUGGGCGAAAGCCUGAUGCAGCGACGCCGCGUGAGGGAUGACGGCCUUCGGGUUGUAAACCUCUUUCAGCAGGGAAGAAGCGAAAGUGACGGUACCUGCAGAAGAAGCGCCGGCUAACUACGUGCCAGCAGCCGCGGUAAUACGUAGGGCGCAAGCGUUGUCCGGAAUUAUUGGGCGUAAAGAGCUCGUAGGCGGCUUGUCACGUCGGAUGUGAAAGCCCGAGGCUUAACCUCGGGUCUGCAUUCGAUACGGGCUAGCUAGAGUGUGGUAGGGGAGAUCGGAAUUCCUGGUGUAGCGGUGAAAUGCGCAGAUAUCAGGAGGAACACCGGUGGCGAAGGCGGAUCUCUGGGCCAUUACUGACGCUGAGGAGCGAAAGCGUGGGGAGCG
rnacentral:rRNA from 2 species